GUGAAGAAACUGAGGCCUAUCCCGUUAGGACACUAGUGCAGUUUACCGUGAGAACUUGGAAGAGCAAGCGGCUCCUGAGCCCGAGGUUUUAACAGUCAGGUGGCCCAGGAAAGUGCCGAGUGCAGCAGAGUUGAGGAGGUGUGAUUUAAAGUCAUGCAGGCAGGCCUCGGUGUGCUAGCCAGGAAGAGGAUACAUCUCUCAGUAGCCAGAUGAGGAAACUGCAGCAGACUGGCUUGACUUCCCGGUCAUCAUUAUCAAGUGAGAAACAAACCCAGAAGACUGGUAAAGUGCCUGCCUUGCAAGAGGAGACUGUAUAAAGAGGCUCACCUCUUGGACCAGGAUGGAUAACACGUCACAGAAGAGGGAGAUGGGAAAGAAUCUGUCAAUGCGGAAGUUGAGCCAAAGAAGGGGACAAGGCAUAUUACUCACAUUGUACCCAUUAUACACAUGGGAAAGGUGAGAACUAAGUGGUGGGCUGUUAGUGAUAGGGGAGAAGGAUCUCCCUGCCCUCACAUUGUGGAGGACACAGUGGAUCUACUCUGCUCUUGUCCUGUGACUCCAAGUCCUCCUUUCCUUGACACUUCACUUCACUCAGAUUGGUGCCUGGGUGGCCAAUGCCACCCAAGAUUUAAUAUGAAUUCAGGGGUGUGGGAGGAGUUGGGGAUGCAUGCAGUAGGUAGAGUGCUUGUCUGGUAUGGAAAAAGCUAUAUAUUUAAUCCCUAGUGCUGUGUAAAUGGGGUAUAGUGAUCACAGCACGCAGAAAACAAAGGCAAGAGAUUAUCCUCAGGUACAUACUAAGUCUGAGGCUAGCCCAUCAUACAUGAGACCAUCACAAAAUAAGUUAAAGUAGGACAAAACACUGGCAGCUAGAUGAUGCUCUAUAUAGAUGCUUCCCUUCCUUGGAUUACAUAGGAAUGGAACCCAGGGGUGUGAACCUUAUCUGGAUCCGGAUAAGGCAUGGGCUGCACUAGACUAGAGGUCAUUGUGGCAGCCUCACGGGAGGAAUGACUCCUGGAUGCUCUGGCUGUCCUCGGCAGUCAGCCCUCUGUUGGUUCUGCUAGAGGAGCCUUGGAGGGAGUGGAUGGGUACCUGAUCUCCCACCCGAGCAGCUGCACACGGUGGGUAGGGUAGCCCUCCUUUCCUUCCCCAUAUUCUUCCUCACACUGUCAUAGAGACAGCCUGGGGGUGGGGAGAUGUUCUUCAGGGGAAUUAAAGUCUCUUCCUUGAAAGGUAACAAAUUCCUUACUAAUUAUGUUAUUAUUUUAUUAUGCAGCCAGAAUGAAAA